rnacentral:rRNA from 1 species
CGGAGGGUGCAAGCGUUAUCCGGAUUUACUGGGUUUAAAGGGUGCGUAGGUGGGUAGGAAAGUCAGUGGUGAAAUCUUCGGGCUUAACCCGGAAACUGCCAUUGAUACUAUUUAUCUUGAAUACUUUGGAGGUAAGCGGAAUAUGUCAUGUAGCGGUGAAAUGCUUAGAUAUGACAUAGAACACCAAUUGCGAAGGCAGCUUACUACACAGAUAUUGACACUGAGGCACGAAAGCGUGGGGAUCAAACAGGAUUAGAUACCCUGGUAGUCCACGCCCUAAACGAUGGAUACUCGACAUCAGCGAUACACUGUUGGUGUCUGAGCGAAAGCAUUAAGUAUCCCACCUGGGAAGUACGAUCGCAAGAUUG